UGAUAAUUAGUUUAAAUCAAAACAAGUGAUUUCGACUCACUAAAUUGUGCACUAGCAUGAUUAUCAA
rnacentral:tRNA from 1 species